rnacentral:rRNA from 1 species
GCAUAUCAAUAAGCGGAGGAAAAGAAACCAACAGGGAUUGCUCUAGUAACGGCGAGUGAAGCAGCAAUAGCUCAAAUUUGAAAUCUGGCGUCUUCGACGUCCGAGUUGUAAUUUGUAGAGGAUGCUUCUGAGUGGCCACCGACCUAAGUUCCUUGGAACAGGACGUCAUAGAGGGUGAGAAUCCCGUAUGCGGUCGGAAAGGCGCUCUAUACGUAGCUCCUUCGACGAGUCGAGUUGUUUGGGAAUGCAGCUCUAAAUGGGAGGUAAAUUUCUUCUAAAGCUAAAUAUUGGCCAGAGACCGAUAGCGCACAAGUAGAGUGAUCGAAAGAUGAAAAGCACUUUGGAAAGAGAGUUAAAAAGCACGUGAAAUUGUUAAAAGGGAAGGGAUUGCAACCAGACUUGCUCGCGGUGUUCCGCCGGUCUUCUGACCGGUCUACUCGCCGCGUUGCAGGCCAGCAUCGUCUGGUGCCGCUGGAUAAGACUUGAGGAAUGUAGCUCCCUCGGGAGUGUUAUAGCCUCUUGUGAUGCAGCGAGCGCCGGGCGAGGUCCGCGCUUCGGCUAGGAUGCUGGCGUAAUGGUCGUAAUCCGCCCGUCUUGAAACACGGACCAAGGAGUCUAACAUCUAUGCGAGUGUUCGGGUGUCAAACCCCUACGCGUAAUGAAAGUGAACGGAGGUGAGAACCGCAAGGUGCAUCAUCGACCGAUCCUGAUGUCUUCGGAUGGAUUUGAGUAAGAGCAUAGCUGUUGGGACCCGAAAGAUGGUGAACUAUGCCUGAAUAGGGUGAAGCCAGAGGAAACUCUGGUGGAGGCUCGCAGCGGUUCUGACGUGCAAAUCGAUCGUCAAAUUUGGGUAUAGGGGCGAAAGACUAAUCGAACCAUCUAGUAGCUGGGUUCCUGCCGA